GAAAAAUUUUGGAAAACAAGAUUUUAUAAGGAAACUUGAUGCUGUGCUGAAAUUACAGGGAAUACAAAGAAAAGAAAUACAUCUUUGAUCUCAUAGACCCUUAAAAAUGGGGAGUAAAAUGACAGAAAAGCCAGAUAACAGCAUAAAUCAUUCUUGAUGAUUCAUUUAGGGAUCCAGCCUCUGCAAUGGGAAAGACAUAAGCCAUAUCAAUUCCAAAGGAUAAAGAACCAAGAGAAAAUGAAGGACUCCUUAAACACUUUGGAGACAAUGGGUCCCAUUUCCUAGGUUUAAUGGGAAAAUAUAGACAGUCAGGUACCAAUAAGAGAUUUUGGAAUCUUGGGAACAAGAUUCCAAAUAA